AUUGAACGCUGGCGGCAGGCCUAACACAUGCAAGUCGAGCGAGCGGCGGACGGGUGAGUAAUGUAUGGGGCCUGCCCGAAGGAGGGGGAAAACUACUGGAACCGGUGGUUAAUACGGCAUACUAACGGAUAACCCAUAUGGGAUUAGCUACUAGGUGGGGUAAAGGCUCACUUAGGCGACGAUCUCUAGCUGGUCUGAGAGGAUGAUCAGCCACACUGGAACUGAGACACGGCCCAGACUCCUCCGGAGGCAGCAGUGGGGAAUAUUGCACAAUGGGCGCAAGCCUGAUGCAGCCAUGCCGCGUGUAUGAUGAAGGCCUUAGGGUUGUAAAGUACUUUCAGCGGGGAGGCGUUACCCAAAGAAGAAGCAACGGCUAACUCCGUGCCAGCAGCCGCAGUAAUUC
rnacentral:rRNA from 1 species